UACGUAGGGUGCAAGCGUUAAUCGGAAUUACUGGGCGUAAAGAGCUCGUAGGCGGUUCGUCGCGUCGGCUGUGAAAACCUGAGGCUCAACCUCAGGCCUGCAGUCGAUACGGGCGGACUUGAGUACUGCAGGGGAGACUGGAAUUCCUGGUGUAGCGGUGAAAUGCGCAGAUAUCAGGAGGAACACCGGUGGCGAAGGCGGGUCUCUGGGCAGUAACUGACGCUGAGGAGCGAAAGCGUGGGGAGCGAACAGG
rnacentral:rRNA from 1 species